rnacentral:lncRNA from 1 species
UAUUUCUUAAUAAUUUAACAUAGAUGAUCUUGAAGUUGAGAAAUCCUAAAAUUUUCAGAUAAAAUAAAAUUUUUAUUUAAUCAAAUGAUGAUAAAUAAUUUUAUUAAAUUAAAUUAUAUUAAUGUGAUCAUUGGAUGAUAAAGAAUGCUAAAAAAAUAAAUAAAUAAUAUUUUAAGAGUAUAAAAAUAUUAAAUUAUCAUUUCAAUUUACUUUUUUUAAUCAACGACAAUANNNNNNNNNNNNNNNNNNNNNNNNNNNNNNNNNNNNNNNNNNNNNNNNNNNNNNNNNNNNNNNNNNNNNNNNNNNNNNNNNNNNNNNNNNNNNNNNNNNNNNNNNNNNNNUGUCUUUUCAUCAUGCCUCCGCAUCACCUUAUAAAUGUACAUACCUCCGCAUCACCACAUAACUAAGCAUACCUCCACAUCACCAUAUUACUAAGCAUACCUCCGCAUCACCCUUUUAACUUUAACCUUUCUAGGGGUAACUUGCAUUCUUAUUCACUUCUUAGCUUGUUUAGCCUAAUACCCUUUUGGCGACCGGUUUUCUAUCUAACGAUUAAUAUCACAAACGGACUCGGACUCGCACAAAUUUUAUGUCCACAUGUUCGUAUUAAACUCAAGUUUCUAAAGGUCUAGAAAUCAUAUUUUUCUGGGCAGUCUAUCUCCAGCUAUUGAGGAAAAACCGAGACUGUUAUUCUAGGUUUGUAGGAACAGCACCUUGCUAUCUUGUUAUGUGGUUUUUAUAUUGUGAAAGCCUACGCACGGACUAUCUCUCUUAUCAAAGUAACUCUAGAGAUCCUAACCUUUAAUUUAAAUUAUAGUUUACUACAUUUGGAUUAGAAUUGAAUUUUAUACAAGAUUUUAAAAUUCUGCUACUGCACUUGUAAAGAUUCAGAAAAACAGCAGGCAGCAGUGUUUUUAUAAAAUUCAUAAUAAUUUCAAUUCUAAUCCGUUGCUCCUAAAUUUUUGUAAGAUUAUACUCAACACCCCUAAUUUUUAUAAUCAACAAGUUUCAGGUUCAUAUCACCUUGUUUGGUUAAUUAAAUGUCAAUUGGAAAGGCUGCCCUGUUUCUUUAAAUGAGUUCUGAAGUUCCUGCGAACAGUCCAGCUUCCAAGAGGCAUAACUAACUCUACAAAAUAGCUAUGGACCUGAAAUUUUACUCAUUUAAAAUAGACUUACAGACCUCUAAAAUCCCUUUGGAAUCAACUCAAAAUGUUAAGUAAAACAAAAGUUCCAGUAGUUUGAAAUUGACACUGCAGAACUAGAAAAACCAGAAAAAUUCUGCAGCAGCUACUGUCUUCAAAAAUUUAUAUCUUUUAAACCACUUGGCCAAAUCCCUUGAAAUUUUUAUGGCACAUUCAAGACACACCUAAGUUUUACAGAAAAAUAAUUUUAUCUAAAAAGGUGGUUCGAACUAUUACCAGACAUUAUUUUAAGUCACUGCCAAAUAUGCAGAAAUUCUGCAUCAAGUAAUUCCAACAACCUCACAUACCAAAUCUUAUAUUUAAGCCUAAAACUCCCCUAAAAUCAUAAUUUCAACUUUUUUGUGACUAACCAAAGUUGCUAGAAUGAUUAGCGCAGUCCCAAAAAUCCAGAGUCAAUAUUUUCCAAGUUUUCAAGUGCUUAUACACAAGUGAACAUUCAUUUUUCUGCAUCAUGUUAAAAACAGAAUUUCCACAUGUACUUUCUAUCGGCACAAAGGCCCGUUCAACAUACAAUAUGCUAUCAAUUAGGCAGACAUUCCUGCAUUAGCAAUCUUAGGCUAUCAGUCAGGCGGGCACUUCUGCAUUAGCAGUUUGGCACAAAGGCCCAGUCAAUUUUGGCGACCGGUUUUCUAUCUAACGAUUAAUAUCACAAACGGACUCGGACUCGCACAAAUUUUAUGUCCACAUGUUCGUAUUAAACUCAAGUUUCUAAAGGUCUAGAAAUCAUAUUUUUCUGGGCAGUCUAUCUCCAGCUAUUGAGGAAAAACCGAGACUGUUAUUCUAGGUUUGUAGGAACAGCACCUUGCUAUCUUGUUAUGUGGUUUUUAUGUUGUGAAAGCCUACGCACGGACUAUCUCUCUUAUCAAAGUAACUCUAGAGAUCCUAACCUUUAAUUUGAAUUAUAGUUUACUACAUUUGGAUUAGAAUUGAAUUUUAUACAAGAUUUUAAAAUUCUGCUACUGCACUUGUAAAGAUUCAGAAAAACAGCAGGCAGCAGUGUUUUUAUAAAAUUCAUAAUAAUUUCAAUUCUAAUCCGUUGCUCCUAAAUUUUUGUAAGAUUAUACUCAACACCCCUAAUUUUUAUAAUCAACAAGUUUCAGGUUCAUAUCACCUUGUUUGGUUAAUUAAAUGUCAAUUGGAAAGGCUGCCCUGUUUCUUUAAAUGAGUUCUGAAGUUCCUGCGAACAGCCCAGCUUCCAAGAGGCAUAACUAACUCUACAAAAUAGCUAUGGACCUGAAAUUUUACUCAUUUAAAAUAGACUUACAGACCUCUAAAAUCCCUUUAAAAUCAACUCAAAAUGUUAAGUAAAACAAAAGUUCCAGUAGUUUGAAAUUGACACUGUAGAACUAGAAAAACCAGAAAAAUUCUGCAGCAGCUACUGUUUUCAAAAAUUUAUAUCUUUUAAACCACUUGGCCAAAUCCCUUGAAAUUUUUAUAGCACAUUCAAGACACACCUAAGUUUUACAGAAAAAUAAUUUUAUCCAAAAAGGUGGUUCGGACUAUUACCAGAAUUUAUUUUAAGUCACUGCCAAAUAUGCAGAAAUUCCGCAUCAAGUAAUUCCAACAACCUCACAUACCAAAUCUUAUAUUUAAGCCUAAAACUCCUCUAAAAUCAUAAUUUCAACUUUCUUGUGACUAACCAAAGUUGCUAGAGUGAUUAGCGCAGUCCCAAAAAUCCAGAGUCAAUAUUUUCCAAGUUUUCAAGUGCUUAUACACAAGUGAACAUUCAUUUUUCUGCAUCAUGUUAAAAACAGAAUUUCCACAUGUACUUUCUAUCAUUCAUUCACAUAAUAAAUCAUCAUUCAGCAUCAUCCAACUGGGUUAGUUAUAACAGAACCCAUCUCAAGCACAACAACUUAUACUACCAACUAAUUCAAUCAUAAAACAUGGCCUUUAGCCUUCAAGUAAAUUCUGCACAUAGCAACUUAAAACCCCAAAUAACAUUAUCAAACCUACAAUCCACCCACAGCACCAUCAUUCAGUCACAAACAUAUCCUUCUAAACACUCAAACCCUUACCUCUUUUGAAGUUCAAAAUUCUGUUUGUGCUUCUUCCUUGAAUUAAAAAUCCUAGCCACACAAAAUUGAAGUUUCGGUCACUCCUCCCUUCUCCCUCAACUCCGUUUCAUUCUUUUCUUUCUUCUAUUUGUGUGUGUCUGUGAUGACCCAGAUGAAGCAAGCACUCAUAUAAGUAGAAGAAAAAGUGGAGGAACUUGUCCUGUCUCUCCUUCUUUCCGUCUUGGUUCUGCUCUCUCUCUCCCUCUCUUUGCUGCCUUCUGUUUCUUACGUUGAAAAAGGGAGACCCAAUAGAAGCGGUGGGCGUAUAAAUAGGAGAAGAAGAAGUGGGGUGAGGUAGUGAAGAGAGUUACGUGGUUCUUCCUCCAGAGAACACCUAACUAAAUCCCAUUAUCAUAUGAGGAAACCAAGAGGUGUAACCUUGGUUGGGGGAAGGCUUCUCUCUGUUUCGGUCAUCACAGGAAGAAUGAAGAAGAUUAGGGCUUUAAUCAUGGUUAGAUUUCUGAUGAUGCAUAUGCUUAUGGUCUGGUUGAAUCGGAAAAAAAAAAACGGUUUAAUGUGUGUUGGUUCAUACUUCACAAAUCUUAAUGAUAUAUCUAUACUGUUCUUUUCACUUAUCAAGUCUAAGUCCACCUUAUUAUUUUAUGGUGAGGUGAU